AAUUGUUGAUGCUUCGUUCUUUCGGACAGUUAGAAUGUCACUUGUUCUCACAGGUGUCACGGUAUUGAAGUCACGUAUCCGGAGGAAAUUGUACAUCACAGACUUCAACAUAUUCUCACGGACGUUGGUUUACCGGAAAUACGAUCUCGAGAUAUCAUCGACGUCAUUUCCGGAUAUCAGCAUGUCGAUGUUGACGGUGAUGAUGUAGAGAAAGAUUACGAUAUUGUUGUGGACGUCGCCAUGGCAACAGGUGUGAUCUUGGACCCGCACUACGGUGGCAGAGCGGUCCGGGGGCUCUUGCAGCAGUUACACACUAACCGCCACAGGUUCAAGGGCAACAGGCUCUUAUACAUUCACACAGGCGGAAUUUUCUCCGUGUAUGAGAAAAGGAUGCAGGACUACCUUGAGAAGAAGCUGGGGAGUGCUCGGGUUGUGGGGUGGGAGGACGGAAACACGGUCCCUUUCUUCGCGUAGUCACCUGGCGUGUUAUCAUGUCACGCGGCGGAGAAUCAUUUAUCCAUAUCAGAUAACCCACCAACGUGUAUGUAUGUUAUAUAUAUGAAACUUUGGAUUCCUUACUGUCAACUUAUAUGCGCCAUCUUUUACCUGUCGUUAACUUUCUCACGUUUGUGACGCUUAAGGAAAAUAAAGGGAUUAAAAUCAUUUACAACAGAUAAUUUGUAAAACUUGUAAAAUCAGUCUUC